rnacentral:rRNA from 1 species
GAUGAACGCUGGCGGCGUGCUUAAUACAUGCAAGUCGAACGAUGAAGCCGGGAGCUUGCUCCUGGUGGAUUAGUGGCGAACGGGUGAGUAACACGUGAGUAACCUGCCCUUCACUCUGGAAUAACCGUCGGAAACAACGGCUAAUACCGGAUACGACCCUCGGAGGCAUCUUCAGGGGGUGGAAAGAUUUAUCGGUGAAGGAUGGACUCGCGGCCUAUCAGGUAGUUGGUGAGGUAAAGGCUCACCAAGCCGACGACGGGUAGCCGGCCUGAGAGGGUGACCGGCCACACUGGGACUGAGACACGGCCCAGACUCCUACGGGAGGCAGCAGUAGGGAAUAUUGCACAAUGGGCGCAAGCCUGAUGCAGCAACGCCGCGUGAGGGACGACGGCCUUCGGGUUGUAAACCUCUUUUAGUAGGGAAGAAGCGAAAGUGAC